rnacentral:rRNA from 1 species
CAGCCGUAAACGAUGCUCGCUAGGUGUCAGGCAUGGCGCGACCGUGUCUGGUGCCGCAGGGAAGCCGUGAAGCGAGCCACCUGGGAAGUACGGCCGCAAGGCUGAAACUUAAAGGAAUUGGCGGGGGAGCACAACAACGGGUGGAGCCUGCGGUUUAAUUGGACUCAACGCCGGACAACUCACCGGGGGCGACAGCAAUAUGUAGGCCAAGCUGAAGACUUUGCCUGAAUCGCUG